rnacentral:rRNA from 1 species
GUGCAACUGAGCUCAGUCGUGAUUACCCGCUGAUAUA